AUUUUCUUUAAAUUUAAAGAAUUUGGCAGUAAUUUAGUCUAGUCAGAGGAACCUGCUGUAUAAAUUAGUCGAUACAACACGUAAAAUCUUACUUAUUUUUGUUUAGUUUGUAUACCAUCAUUAUCAGAUAAUCUUUACAGAGUAAAAUUAUUGAAUUUAAUUAUUAUUAUAAAAAUUAGAUCAAGGUGCAGCUUAUAGAUAAGGGAGAGUGGGUUACAAUAAAAUAUAUUUAAACGGAAUAAGAGAGUAAGUUUUCUUACGAAGGAGGAUUUGAUUGUAAUAUAAGUUUAAUAUGCUUAGG
rnacentral:rRNA from 1 species